GUGUCGGUAGCGAUUAGUGGUAGAUCGGCUCGCUGUGACCGAGCAGGCGGUGGUUCGAUUCCACCCCGACACUCCA
rnacentral:tRNA from 1 species